rnacentral:rRNA from 1 species
UACGUAGGGUGCGAGCGUUGUCCGGAAUUAUUGGGCGUAAAGAGCUUGUAGGCGGUUUGUCGCGUCUGCUGUGAAAUCUCAAGGCUCAACCUUGAGCUUGCAGUGGGUACGGGCAGACUAGAGUGUGGUAGGGGAGACUGGAAUUCCUGGUGUAGCGGUGAAAUGCGCAGAUAUCAGGAGGAACACCAAUAGCGAAGGCGAAUCUCUGGACAGUGACUGACGCUGAGGCACGAAGGCUAGGGGAGCAAACGGG